GUGACUAUAUGUUUAACGGCCGCGGUAUUUUGACGUGCAAAGGUAGCGCAAUCACUUGUCUUUUAAAUAAAGACCUGUAUGAAUGGCAUGACGAGGGCUUAACUGUCUCCUUCUCCCGGUCAAUGAAAUUGAUCUCCCCGUGCAGAAGCGGGGAUAUUAUUAUAAGACGAGAAGACCCUGUGGAGCUUUAAAUGAUGAGAGAUUUUAUGCAACAAACCUAAAAAGGUAUAAGCGAAUUUAUACUCCCUCUAAUAUUUUUGGUUGGGGCGACCGCGGAGUAAAAAGGAACCUCCGUGAGGAAUGAGGUAAUUAACCUUAAAUCCCAGAACGACAAUUCAAAGAAACAAAAUUUUUGACCUAAAGAUCCGGCAAAGCCGAUCAACGAACCUAGUUACCCCAGGGAUAACAGCGCAAUCCCCUUCAAGAGUCCCUAUCGACAAGGGGGUUUACGACCUCGAUGUUGGAUCAGGAUAUCCUAAUGGUGUAGCCGCUAUUAAGGGUUCGUUUGUUCAAC
rnacentral:rRNA from 1 species